UCCGUCACGGGACACUUCCCGCUGGAGGCUUCUCUUCUGAGGUAAUUUGGGAGAGCGGGGAGGGGAGCCUGCUCCCGCCAUUUUCGGCUCUCCACAGCGGCAACCUUCCAGUCAGUGCGCAGACGCGAACAAGCUGGGCUGGUCUUCUCCGCCAUUAUUCUCUGACUACGGUGCGAGGCAGCUUGUUUAUUUCUCUCUCAAACUAAGCUGCGCUUCACAACGUUGGCGCUGAGGAGAACGGCCCUGACCGAAACCGAGCGGCAGGUCCUCUUAUCGGCCUACUUCAGCAGCGUUCUCCUCUUACAACAGGCGAGGCUGUGAAGGGCGGCGGCGGCUUGGGCCGGGGCCUACCUGCUUGCCGCCCGCCGCCAUUAUGCGCCACAGCUUGGCCCAGCUGCUGGCCACCUCGUCGGGCAGGGGGAGCCCCAGCGAGCCCUCCGCGGCUUGCUCUCUUCCUAGUGAGGGCACGUCCGUUAGGAGCGGCAGGGGCAACGCGGCGGAGGCGGGCGGUGAGGCCGAGCCGCGCCAUGAGGAAGCGGCGGCGGAUUCGCUGGAGGAGCCGGACAACGAGCUGCUUUUCCCGGCGGGCCUGGAACUAGACGACUGGUUGGAGGCGGCGGUGGUGGCUGAAACCCGGCCGGACUGGGAAAUAAAUUUCGAUGGAGAUAGGAGUCCGAGCCCCAAGACUGAGUCGGAGUCGCCGACAGGCUCAAGGCCUGCCCGGCCAGGGAGCAACCGGUUGAAGGCGGCGGCUGCAGCCCGCUUAAACCGACAGAAGAAGAAGCAGUACGUGAUGGGGUUGGAGAGCCGCUUGCAAGGCCUGGCCGCCGAGAACCGGCACCUGCGCGACCGCAACCGGGGCCUCUGCCGCCGCCUGCGGGACUUGGAGCGGGAGACCAGCUACCUGCGGGCCGUUCUGGCCAACCAGAGCGCCCUGGGCCGGCUCCUGAGCCAUUUGGCCGGGGAGGGUGGAGCCGCGAGAGUGGGGCUCAGGAUCAGCAGCAGCCUUUUUGAGGAUCAUCCGGUGGUGGCGACUGCGUUGGAGACUCCGUUCCCCUGCGACUCGAGCAGCGGCGGCAGCAGCGACCACGAUUAUGCCCUACCUGUCCCACAGCUAGAAGACUACAAGAGGGCGAUUUCUUCCAGCCCCGGCGGCAUUUGCCUCCACGUGGACCGGGACCAGGUUUCGGUGGAGUUCUGCUCCGUGUGCGCCACGCGAGCAGCAAGUUCUGCUUUUGCAGCCGAAUCACCUUCUCCCUCCUUCGCCUCUAAAAUUUUCUCUUUUAGGUGCUUGCCCUGCCAGGCUCCGUUGUGUAGGGGUUAAAAGAACAGUCGUUUUCCACCUCGCAACCUGUGGAUACAGCUGUCAUGGGGCAGAAGAGACGGGACCAGCUGCUGGCACACUUCCUGCUUUAUUUUAAAAGCUUAGUAGUAUCGUGGGGGGAAUCAUUAUUCUGCACCCUAUAGCUUCCUGGAGAGAUGGCAUAAAAGUAAUUACGAAGAGUCAUAUUUCAAAUUGGCAUUCAACAAAAUGAAUACAGUACUCUUUCCAUCAGUCUGCUACCAUUUAACCAAAAAUAGAAGUCUAUUAUUUGACACUUUUGGACUGGAUUUGAAAAGCAGUAGAAUCCCAAAAGACGUUUGUGGUGUUUUAGGUAAGGUUUACCUGGCUCUUAGUAUGAUUUGAAAAAAUACACUCCUUAAAGCAGGAGUAGCCAGCCUUUUUGGAUCAGAAGACACACUUCAAAUUUUGAAAGAGUGCUGGGGGCACCGGUCAUAAAAUGGCUGCCAUAAGACUAUUAGAGAAUAGUUAUGGCGAAGCUUUUCCUGCAAUUGUAUUUCCACAGUAGGAAAAGCUUGACCUGUUGAAUUCCUGUCAUACAGCUGCUCCCACCCCCCUGUGCCAAUCCUAAACCAAACCCUAGGCUGCCUGCCAUCCUGUACUUGCAUACCUGGAAGUAAGCCCCAUUAAACACAAAGACUUGUUUCUGAGUAGAAUUGUAUACUGUUGCACUGUAAGUUAACUAUGCAGUGAAUUCCUAAUAAGGCCCUGGUUUUUAACUCCUGUGAGCAGGAGGCAUGAUUAAGUCUCUUUGCAAAGUUUUCACAUUUGCCUUUUGGGGGGGGGAUUCUUUAUUAUUGACCCACACUGAUUGUUUAGUAGUAUUUGCAGAAAAUAACUUAUAGGUACUACCUUAUCUCAGGUAAACCCAGCAUAGGAAAGAUGCAUCCUUAUUUCUAGGGAAAGAGGGCAAAUAUGAAAAUUCCAAGGACCAGGAAAAAAGACAAACAGGAAAAGUGCACUAAAAGGGAGGGCAAGAUAGCAGCUCUUUAGGACCCCAAGGAUUUCUAUUGUAUGGUGUCCAGUCACGGCUCUGACCUCACUCAUUGGCUAAAAACAUUGACAAGCAGGAGCAGCAGGCUGGCUCAUUUCAUAGAAAUUGCUUAGAAGGGUACUUUGACAUUUUGCUCCAUAACUUACUUUCUAGGAGGACACUUUUUAAAAAAUGCUCGGAUUCUAGACUACUUGAUGUGGCCACCACUGAAGGCCUUUAUGGGGGCCAUGGUGCCUGUGGGCAAUUGGUUGAUAACACCCAUUAGAACUAUAGUAUAGAAUCCCUGCAGUUACACUGGGUAUCAAUAUCUCACCCCUCUCUGCCUGCAGAGCACUAGAGUAGUCUAGACAAUUUAAUUUAAAAAUCCUCCAGAGCUUUUUAGUGCUUUGCAAGCUUUCUUGAAAAGCCCCUUGCAUAUAGCUUUGAUGCAACUGUCUUUAAGCAAGCAUUCAUGUGAACCUGGAAGCUACUUUUUUUAAAAAAGGUACAAGCAAGGAGACCAUUUACCACAAUCAGCAGGAAAACCCAUUGCCCCACCCCCAAAAGAUUUUAAAGUUCUCAUACUGAUCUCUUUUCACAAUAAUUUCUUUCCACUUAUACCCCAUUUUAACCAUAGAAUAGUUAAAAAACCAAACCUGUCCUUGACUAUGAGGUCCAGGCAGGUUAUAACAAUUUUAAAAUACAAUAUUAAAAAUGAGGCCAAUAUGCAAAGAGCUACUUUUUUAAAAAAAAUUCAGAGGUUUGGUUUAGAUAGAUAAGAAGGAAAAACCAAUCAAAUGAUGGCUGCACAAUUUCAGAUUUAAUUUUUUAGUUCUUCAGGAUCCUCCCCAGGCUCAGGCAACUGGAGCAUUUUAAUAUAUAUUUCAUGAUGUUUUGAACUCAAAAAUGUGCCAAAUGCAACUUGAAGGAGUACAGCAAAUUUCAUUUUUUUGUAAAUAGGCUUGCUAAUUGUGAUCCAGUACCGCAAGAAGUUUCUUUUAUCUGGCAAGGGAGCUGUGCAGGACCUAGAGAAAAAAGAUACAUGAGCGUUAAUGUUUAAUCAAGGCUAAUUUCAACUGGUAUUCUAUCUGUGGCAGAGAAGCAGUUUGCUAGUUUAAAAGAGCUGGUAAAGUAGGGAGAAGUCUCUUCUCAGUUGCUGCAGUAGUCUGAAGCUUUUUGUCUGCUCAGAUACGGAGUUUAUUAGGAGAUGUUUUUUAAGAUUAAGCAGUCAAAAUGGGUGCUAGCCCAAUUCUUACCAACAAGCAUACUAGAUGUCACAUCUCUGUCUCUCUCCUCCUGUGCUACCUCAGUUUUGCUUGCUUUUUCUAUGAUUAUGAAGUUCUAUAUACUGGCAGAAGACUUGCUAAUCAAAGCAUUAAUGAGAAUAGAUAGGAAACUGAUUUAAGUGGUACCUGAAAAUGUGCAGAAAGGUGUUCUAUAAACUAGUAGCUUCGUAUUGUUGCCAAAAUAUAGCGGAGUUACAGGCACAAAUGUAUGAGCUUACUAAAAGUAUUUAAAGUAUAAGAGAAUCAAGCAUAAUACCAAGAAUGUCAACUCAAUUUUCUGCCUUAUCUUGGAAUUUUAUAGCUAUUCAUUUACAAUGGAUGUUUACAACCACUUUGGGUUUGGUCCAUUAUCCAUGCCUGCAUUCAAAUUGCCCCUUCGGACUUGUUCAGCAAUGAAAGAACAGUAGAAUGCUUGCGAUUGAAGCAGAUUACCCUCAGGCAAUGAAUGUCUGAAUAGAGACAUCGAGGGGACACUAUCUUUGGAAUUAAAAUUUAGGUGAUCACAGAAAAUGGAUGUUGAAAGCAAUGUGUGCAUUUUAAACUGAAGUUCCAGUUUAGGGAUUUGCCUUGUAAAGGUGAACAGCACUUAGGUCCCUGUGAACAUCUGCCAGGGAGCGCCUUGGGUAGAACUGCUUUUGCUGCGACUUCCCUCUAAGGGCCCCCCCAAUCCAUCUAACCAGGAGCCAAGACUGCUGCUACUCAGCCAGUAGUGGCAGAAGCAGGGCACAGCAGAGAGCAGCUGCUACCACAAGGUAGCAAUAAGGGGGAGGGAGUGGCUUCUGGGAGAGGGAGGAAAGAAACAGACCACUGUCUUGGCUCCACUAGAGUCCUUUCACCUAUUUGCAGGGAAGCAGAAGGAGCCGAGAGAAGACCUUUCCCCAACCCUAUGGGAUUAGCAUUUAAGAGGAUGUGGCCUUUGGUAGCCUCAGGAUAUCGUAAGUAGGGACCAGCAGGGAGGAGCUCCUGGACCUUUCACUCCCCAAAUACCAAAGCAGGUGGAGCAAAGGCUAUUGGGAUGAAGUGAUUGUACCGCUGGGGAAGGGCAGGUGGAGUUGAAGGCUUGAUCCUGUAUCUGCUGUGAAUCCUCAAUAAAUCAUGAAUAGCUGCACUUGGCUUGUUUAGUCCUCACCAGGGGUUUGAGUUGAAUAUAAUUUCCCUUUCAAGUGCCCCUUCUCCAGGAGGGCUACAUAGUUCCAACAACAGCAGUCUUCCCUCCCACCCAGUACAAUUAAUUUUCCAAGAUGGGUUAUGUACCCAUAUACCUUGCUGCAGUAGCUGCAUUCAGAGAUAAAGCUAGGACAGUAGGGUAAAAACAGCCUACAACUCCUCCAAUUAAACCUCCUCUGACCCAAGUACAAGUUGCACAGUUUAGAUCACCUGGAGAAAAAAACAAAUGAGUUGGAAAACUGCAUUUAAAAUUAUCUCACUGAAAUCUGCAGACAUGAGAAUUUAUUGAUUUACUGACAACAUCCCUAUGUGCAGGCUUGGAUGGCAGCAUUUUAAAAACAGCUUUCCUAAUUUGCAUGAGAUAUUGUCAAGCUAAUGAGAAGCUGCUCACAUUUCAUUAGUAAAAGUAUUGCUACAAAAUAUCUCAAUGGUCCUCUAAGUGCAGUGAGCCUUGAAAAGGGAAGCCAACACAUUGGCUGUAUCCACUGCACUGUGGAAACAGGAGGUUCCAGCACUAUAGACUACUCUUCACCAAAAUGCAGACAAUGACAUCGUCCAGAGAGAGGUGAUUCUUCAUACAACCUAAUAUACGGGACUCUGAGAAACAUCACCAUUCCUUAACUGGCCAAAAUGGAAGGUUGUGUGUUUUAUGUUAUUUUAACUGUGCUGUCCUGCAAUUAACAUCUAAAAAGAAUGUUCAGGGAGGUGACUGAGUGAAUAGAUGGAUCUUUUUGAAUGCAAGAAUGAAGUGUAUCCUAUACCAAAAAGGGGCAAAUGGCAGGGUUGAUUUGGUUUAAAUCACUUCUCUAAAGGACUCUGUUUUAAUUAUUUAAAUCACAGUUAAAAUCACUAAUGUGGAAGAUUCUACUUAAUCUUUUUUAGUAGAAGUACAUUAUUGUUUAAUAAAGAUGUACAUUUCAUUAGAAGGUAGGUACACACUAAGCAAUUCUGAAUGAACUUGUAAAGUAAUUCAGGAAAUGAACCAGCUGCAACUGUUCAACUAAUCAUGAUAUUUUUGUCAUGUGCCAGAAUCACCGCCACCGAACAGGCUUUUAAAUUGUACUAAUAAAAUUGUUCUUCUGGUUAUUUUUCUUCUUUAACAAACAACAUAAUAAAACAUGCAUAGGGAUUUUUGAAUGGUUAACUAUUUCAUCAAGCGUUUUAUGUAGAGGCCUUAUGUCAGUCUGCAUCUAUGUUGGAAUUACUUUUUAAAAUAUUUUUAAAGCUUUUUUAAAAAAGAUGUUUUGUUUUAAUAUAUUUUAAAGUCUGUUUCAUGGUGUAUUAGAGUGUUUUUGUUUGCUGCCCUGGACUGCUGCUGGGAGGAUGGACAGGAUAUAAAUUUAAUACAAUAAAUAAAAAAGUAAUGUUUUAGGUAAAUUCUUUAAAAAAUAAUAUUUAGGUCAUUUUAACCAAAUCAACAUGAGAAACUUAAAAUAUUGGGUAAUACAGUUAACUCAGCCUUUUUUGUCUUGUUAAUUGUCUGGAAAAGAAAGACAAGGUUUCCUGCCUUUUCAGUUCCCAACAUACUUCUUAAUUUAGAAUGAAUUAGUCCAAAGGAAGGAAAAUUCUCUCUAUGCCUGCAGAAGAGGCAACUACUGAAGAGCUGGAGUUACCACUUCAGUUGUCUCCAUCUCCUCAAAUUCUCCAUUCAUUGACCUUUUCUAUCUUUUCACUUAAAGAGACAAGGCCUUGAGAUAGAGCACUUCAUGUAUACCACCUCCAGAAUAGGACUGAUCAGGUUAUCUCCAUCUCCAUAAACUGCUGUUAACGUAUUCAUAGAAUUAGAAGUUAUAUAAUUAGUAGUCAUAAUAUCUUUCACCUAGGCUCUUUUUUUUUACUAAUUGUUUA